GAUGAACGCUGGCGGCGUGCCUAAUACAUGCAAGUCGAGCGAACGGACGAGAAGCUUGCUUCUCUGAUGUUAGCGGCGGACGGGUGAGUAACACGUGGAUAACCUAUCUAUAAGACUGGGAUAACUUCGGGAAACCGGAGCUAAUACCGGAUAAUAUUUUGAACCGCAUGGUUCAAAAGUGAAAGACGGUCCUGCUGUCACUUAUAGAUGGAUCCGCGCUGCAUUAGCUAGUUGGUAAGGUAACGGCUUACCAAGGCAACGAUGCAUAGCCGACCUGAGAGGGUGAUCGGCCACACUGGAACUGAGACACGGUCCAGACUCCUACGGGAGGCAGCAGUAGGGAAUCUUCCGCAAUGGGCGAAAGCCUGACGGAGCAACGCCGCGUGAGUGAUGAAGGUCUUCGGAUCGUAAAACUCUGUUAUUAGGGAAGAACAUAUGUGUAAGUAACUGUGCACAUCUUGACGGUACCUAAUCAGAAAGCCACGGCUAACUACGUG
rnacentral:rRNA from 1 species